AGAACUUAGCAGAGAUGCUUUGGUGCCUUCGGGAACUCUGAGACAGGUGCUGCAUGGCUGUCGUCAGCUCGUGUUGUGAAAUAGUUGGGUUAAGUCCCGCAACGAGCGCAACCCUUAUCCUUUGUUGCCAGCGGUCCGGCCGGGAACUCAAAGGAGACUGCCAGUGAUAAACUGGAGGAAGGUGGGGAUGACGUCAAGUCAUCAUGGCCCUUACGAGUAGGGCUACACACGUGCUACAAUGGCGCAUACAAAGAGAAGCGACCUCGCGAGAGCAAGCGGACCUCAUAAAGUGCGUCAUAGUCCGGAUUGGAGUCUGCAACUCGACUCCAUGAAGUCGGAAUCGCUAGUAAUCGUAGAUCAGAAUGCUACGGUGAAUACGUUCCCGGGCCUUGUACACACCGCCCGUCACACCAUGGGAGUGGGUUGCAAAAGAAGUAGGUAGCUUAACCUUCGGGAGGGCGCUUACCACUUUGUGAUUCAUGACUGGGGUGAAGUCGUAACAAGGUAAGCGUAGCGAG
rnacentral:rRNA from 1 species